rnacentral:rRNA from 1 species
UGAGGAAUCUUGCGCAAUGGGCGAAAGCCUGACGCAGCGACGCCGCGUGGAGGAUGAAGGUCUUAGGAUUGUAAACUUCUGUUAAGUGGGAAGAAAAGCGCGGAAAUAAUACUUCAGCGUAAUGACGGUACCAUUAUAGAAAGCACCGGCUAACUUCGUGCCAGCAGCCGCGGUAAUACGAAGGGUGCUAGCGUUAUUCGGAAUUAUUGGGCGUAAAGGGUGCGCAGGCGGUAUAUUAAGUCAGUCGUUCAAUUUCCCGGCCUAACCGGGAGUCUGCGGCAGAUACUGAUAUGCUUGAGGGUGGAAGAGAGAAGUGGAAUUCUCGGAGUAGCGGUAAAAUGCGUAGAUCUCGAGAGGAACACCAAUGGCGAAGGCAGCUUCUUGGUCCACACCUGACGCU